rnacentral:lncRNA from 1 species
GAAAAUGAGACAAUAAUCCGAAAACAAGACAAUAAUUAGAGUUCAGCAUACAGUCGUAACAAUACAUGACAAAUGUGCACAGUACAGCCAACUACAGCAUGGCCACUGACUUAAACAAGGAAAUGACACACUUCAUAUGAUUAGGAAAAGAGGAUCAAAAUGUGCUCGCUACUUCAUGAUGUUAAAAAAAAAGAGACAAAAGGAUAAUAUCAUUAGACAAAAACAUUGUGAAACUGAAUAUGCAAGAAGCACCUUAUGAAAUCAUCCUUAUAUGAAUAAAGGAACAAGUCAGAAAAAGAGGAGAACAGUUGAUUAUCAUAGGAAGUCGAUUGUUUGUUGAAAAAUGUCC